AGAUUGCAUAUGAUGAGCUAGUGAAAUUGAUGGGUGGAGGAGAGCUACACUCAAGGGUUAUGGUUGAUGCUUUUAUGGAUGAGGGUGAUGUCUCAAGGAGACAAGGACACGCUUGGAUUCUUCACUGUGCUAAGGUUUUGUUCUUGCUCUUAACUCUUCUUUUUACUCUCUGUUUUUCCUAAUUACAUGUGUGGAGAAGGAUCCUAUAAUGGCUCAAUGAUGGCUUUGACUGAUCGUUGUCACUACAUACUCUUCUCUUGGACAUAUUUGUUUAGAUAUUCUCUAUGACUUCUGGUCUCCCGCAAUGACAGUGAGUUCAGUCUGCAUCAGCAUUCUCUCUAUGCUAUCGAGUUCACCCGAAAAGCCCGGCUGAUAAUGAUCGAUACGUGAAGAACUGCAAGAACGGGAGAUCUCCUAAAGAGACAAGGUGGUGGUUGCAUGACGACAAGGUUUGAUGAUGAUGACCUACAAGAUGUCUACUGAAGAGGUUUAUAUAAUUUCCCAAGACCAAUAAUACUAUAUUCUAAGAGCUUGUGUUCAAGCUUUGCAAGAAGAGGAGUUGCAAAAACAUGUAGAUAUCCCUAUUGCGUCUUCAUCAAAUAUCGACGUUCUAAGUAAGAACUGUUCCGGAAUCUAAUUAUAAGUUCUCUAGAAAAUCUUGUUUUGUCUGUUAUUUAAGCUUUUUCUCUCAAUCAAAAUCCAUGUUAACUUGUUAUUAUGUUGAUUGAAUUAAUUAGUGUAUAUUAGUUGUUAAUCUAAUACAUAAAAUUAUA